UAGGGAAUCUUCCACAAUGGACGCAAGUCUGAUGGAGCAACGCCGCGUGAGUGAAGAAGGUUUUCGGACCGUAAAGCUCUGUUGUUGGUGAAGAAGGAUAGAGGUAGUAACUGGCCUUUAUUUGACGGUAAUCAACCAGAAAGUCACGGCUAACUACGUGCCAGCAGCCGCGGUAAUACGUAGGUGGCAAGCGUUGUCCGGAUUUAUUGGGCGUAAAGCGAGCGCAGGCGGAAGAAUAAGUCUGAUGUGAAAGCCCUCGGCUUAACCGAGGAAUUGCAUCGGA
rnacentral:rRNA from 1 species